UGGGUCAUUAGCUCAGUUGGUAGAGCAGCGGACUCUUAAUCCGGUGGUCGAAGGUUCGAGUCCUUCAUGACCCAA
rnacentral:tRNA from 1 species